CAGCAGGGCACGCAAAGGCCGGUGGGCCAGCUUAAAGACCAAAGGAUGGCCGGGCCCCGCCCAUGGCGUCACAACAGUUACAAGCCCCGCCCCCGCCUCGGGACACAUGGGCCUCUUGGUGACAAGCUGGGUUUACCUUUUAUCUCUAGAGCAAACUGCGGCAGUGAGAAAAUGAAAGAACAGAGGUCCGGACCACGUGCCGAGAAGCUGGAGUCAGGUGGGCUGUGUGAACUCUGAUGGAGGCCCCCCGACUACCAUCCCAGAGACCUCCGAAUGUUUAUUAGGGGAACCAUUUGCGUGAAGAGAGAAGAUGCCUGAAAACAGCCAUGACCAGCUCUCUCCCAGGACAGCUGUUUCCCUAGAAGGUGUAUGAGGAAGAUGAUGACAGGGAGGUUCCAGCAGAGCUCAGCUGCGCAGACCCAUGUCCUGGCCUCUGUCUUUCAGCAGACGUGGUCAAUGUAAACACCAGGAGACGAACACCCCGGCUUGUCCUCAAGGCUAAGCUAAAUCUUUCCCCCCAGUCUCCUUCCUGUAUAGACCAGCUGGUGAGAAGCCAAUUUCCAACUUAGGUUAACAGCUCAGUAGACUAGCUCUCCAUCUAGCUGGGGAUAAGAGUUUUUUAGUAGCUGUUCUAAUUCUCAAGGCCCCUUCCCCAUUACUUAGCAACCAGACC